GGCAGCACAAGCGGUAGUCAUUUGGGAAGAAGCAAGUCUGGAAGAAAAGUAUCCUGAAGAAUAGCACCAAGAGGGUAGGAACACUUUUUUUGUGAACAUGCUGUCUCCAUUUUACAUUUUUAAACAAAUAAAUGUAUUUCCUUUAGAUUUUUGUUGCCUGGGGUAGAAUUAGGGGAACUGAUUGCAAAUGGGUAGUGUUUGUGGUGUUUGUCAUUUCUCCCAUGAUGAGGGAGAGGAAAGAGGAAAGCUAGGGUGGGGAGUCAGAAGGAGGCUGCAUAGCUGGACUGUCCCAACAGAGCUCUGGGGGAGAAUUACUCUAACAAUCUGUCUAUUUCUGGAAGCUCACAAGCCCUUUCUAAGAUUUUACAUCCAUCCUGAAAUAAGCAGGUAGAGCACUACUUAUGUUGUGAUAAUAUCACAGCAAGCUUUAAUGGAAUGAUUCUAGGAGAUUUCUCCUUCACAUGGUCACAGGUGGACUGGUUGUAAUGGGAAUGGCAGGACUCUGCACUCACUUUUCAAAGCAAUUUAGAGUAGUUCAGGGUGAUGAGUGCCAAAUCACACGUCAUAGAUCUUGAACAAUCUUGGGUAAUAGAUUGAUUUUUGAAUAAUAAAAUUAAUAAUGGUGAAACUGGCAAUUUCUAAUAACAGUUUGGUUUAGUUCCCAGUAUCUAGCCUUAUAUUUGCUUUGGUUUCAUUCCAUUUUUCCCAGUCCAUAUUGCCAAAUUAAGUGAAAUUGUGUAAAUAUUUUUGUUUUUUAAAUUAAAAUUCACAAAGUUAACUGGUACAAGAGCUCAUGGUAAAAUUUUUCUCUUCUAGGAUUCAAAUAAAUAUCUGCACUGGUCAGAAAUGGUUCAUGUAAACCCUAAACAAGAUCAUCCUUAAAGAUUAAUUAAGGGAAUGAUGUUAACAGCCAUUAAUGUAAUUUUAUUUGUAUAAAAGAGAGACACCUGAUCAUCUUAUAUGACAAAUGGAAACUUUCUAACCCCUUUUCUAAGAAAGUUUAUAUAUCUAAGGUUUGCAAACAUUAAUGAUUUUCUUAAACUGUAAUAUCUGUCUACACAAGUGUUUAUUCUUCUUCCUCUUACCUUGUAUGAUUUGGUAACAUUGUGUGUGAAUAUCUGUCGAGGAUACAGUGUUCUCAUGCUACAGAUUUAAACAAGUCCCAUUCCUGAAGGAAUAUCCUCAUCCUCUUAGGCACACACAUAGCAUAGUAAAAAGGUCACCAAAUAACAACAAAGGAGGGUUGAAGUCUAUCUUGGUUCUGUCUUUUACUCAUUUUCUGAGUUUCCAUUUUCUCAUUAGCAAAAUAAAGUAAUUGGAUUGGGUAUUCUGUGAAACCUCCUCUGGUUUUAAAAUGCACUGGUUCAUAGGCUUCAGGAGACCUGGAAUAAAAGAAGCUCAUACUCAGUGGCAGAUGUGUCCUUAUAAGAUUCUGAGAAAAAAGAGACUGAAGUGCUGGAGCAAUUGAGAAACCUUCUGUGGGGCUGCCAUGUGUACAGGACCUAGAAUACAUAACCUGAGAAGGAAGAGAUGAGGGGCAGGAGUUCACAGGGCAUGUGGAGGAGACCAUGGAAGGCUUAAAAAUGGCUAGAUCUAAAUAGAGCCCCUGGCACACAUCUGAGUGCUAAAGAAAUUCUGUUCCUUAUUUCCUUGAAGAGGAUAAUAAUGGUCAUUGCAGAAAGUUUUAGUAGCUGAGACUGAUGAUGUAAUGAGCAGUUUCCUGAGGGGAAAGCCAUGAAGGUGAACUGGAUUUUAAACAUAGAACACUGGUCAAAGGCUCUUUGACUGUUCCAUAUAGGGGAGUUCCCAGUUUGUACUGCCUAGUGCAACUAAUUAUCGAAUAAGAUAUGAUACUUCUGAGUCCCAAUUAAGGCUUUCUUCAAAUUCAAGUGCCAAGGCAUAAGGUCAACCUGUAGAAACAUUCCAAACAUUCCAGCCAAACCUUUGUCCCUGAGCAAAAAUGGAAUUGGGUUUCCAGGCCUGAAUGGAAGCUACAAGAAAGUUCAAACUCAAGGAUUGAUAGAACUGUACUUUUCUAGGACCUGUUUAGCACAGAUUUUUGACGAAUAGUACUGGGUACUUUUUCAAGACCUUAUUAGCGUAAGUAUUGAUCAUUGCUCCUACUCAGUUACUAUAUAAAUCCCUAGACUAUACACUUAAGCAGCAACCUAGUAUUUGGUCCCCUCUCACUCUGGGAGCAUUCUUUCUCUUAACAUUUAAAUAAAUCCUAUUAUUUUUACUCUUACCAUUCUUAUUGUCCAUGGAUUUCAUUUUUUUUUAAUUCACAAGAAAACACCUUGGAAAGAAAUUGGUAGUGAGCUACUAGAGUCUGCUGCAGCACUGGAGGGUAUGGCCUUGCAUUGAGAGCUGCCAUAUGUCACUUGAUAGUAGUGGAAAAGUUGUCACUUUGCCUGCAACCCAAAUGGACUUUCUCGGUUAUAGAGGUCUGCAGCUCAUAUAGACCUCACUUCAGCAAAAGAGGAGAAUCCAAUUUCAUCUCAAACUCCAGUUUUGCUGUAACCAUAUUCCACAAUUUUAAAUUGUUAACUUCUUUUGUUUUUCCCCAGGUCAAUUAGUUUAUUUUAGACAUUUUACAAACAUCCCCAAGUGAUUCAAAUUUGUUGUCAAAAUUAAGUCAUUGCUCUGAUUGUGGCAUCAACAUUUAUCUCCUAAUGAAAACCCAAAUGAUGAUCAGAAAGAUGCCUGGUUUAUCUCAACAAUCAAAAAAAAAUUGAGAAACUCUGAGAGUUUUAGUAUUUCCAAAAUCAUAUAAGUUGCUUAUUAUAUACUUAAUCUUCAGUGAAUCCAAGAUUAAUAGGACACAUAUUAAUAAUAAUGUAAGUGGAAAGAUAGGACAAGUACUAUUUUUAAAAUAUUGAUUUUUUUUAAUGAGGUGAUAUUGGCUGGUGGAAAAAUAAAUUGUUAACUUCUUAAAAACAUUCACAAAAUAAAACUUUCUGAAAUAAACCUGUGCAACAAUAAGGAUAUUGAGGCCAUUUGUCCUUAGCUGGGGAGGGACACACUAAAGAUACCUUGACACUAUCCACCAAGAGAGUAGCAGCUUUCUAUUUUCAAGAGCAUCUGCACAACUUCUGAUUGUCCUUUGGCCUCUUUCUCUUACCCAGGUCCCUCUGUUCCUGCAUGGUCCCUCUUGCCUCCAGUCCAACUCUAGCACCAUGGCCAGCUAUUUCUAGAUGCUUGUCCCAGCUUUCUAGUGCCAAUUACUUUUUUGUUCAUCUGCUGUUUUUUGCUCCCAAGUUUACUCUUAAGCUCCUAGAAGUUUAGUAGAACAUUGAAACUGUGCUUUGUCCCCCACAAAUACAUACAUAUAUAUAUAUAUAUAUAUAUAUAUAUAUAUAUAUCUUGAUUAUCUUGAUUAGACAUUACUGAGAAUACUUUGUUGAAAAAAAUUAUUCUGUAAGCAUUAUCUUAAAAUUAUACUACCAUAAAUUUUCUUUUCUUUAAAUUCUUAAUGCUUUACCUUUUGCUCUCUAAAGAUACCUUAUAUACCAUAUCCUAUACUGAGGAUAUUGAGGAUUUUGAUUUUAUCUCAUGCAAAUUCCUUCAACUUUUCCCACCAUUAUGUCUCAUAUUUGUUCUGUACACCCAUGUCCUCACUCAGCUGGCAUGUAAGAAGUGUUUGUCAUGAUCCAGAUCCCUAUAUAUGUUAUCUCUUAAUCUUUUCAAUAAUCAUAUAAGGUAAAUAUUUUACAGAUGUUUAAGGUGCAUUCCCAGAUCACUAAACCAGUAAAGAAAGAAACAUGUUUUGAAUUUAUGUAGUCUCAGUCCAGAGCAUGCUUUUGUUCUUGUAGCCCUGGGUACAUAUUAUUUUGUGUGUGUGUGUAUGUGUGUGUAUUUAUACAUACACACACAUAUAUGUGUAUGUAUGUGUGUAUAUAUAUACACACACACAUAUAUGCACCCACACACUGUAUGUGUGUGUGUGUGUGUGUGUGUGUGUAUAUAUAUAUAUAUAUAUAUAUAUAUAUAUAUAUAUAUAUACAGAACUGUGUGUGUGUAUAUACAGAAAUGUUGUGUAUUUGUGUGUGCGUAUACAGUUCUGCUCAUGUAACCCAUACUUGGCUUUUCUCAACUCUACUCACACUUCAAUGACCAGCUAAAGACUUAUCUGUGACCAGAUGGUCUAGGGUAGCCUUACUAACAUGUCUGCAAUUGGCCUGAUAUCCGCCAGGAUGACAGAGGUAGUUAGGCCAUGGGUCACUCAUCACUCAGAUGUCUUGUUUUGGUCUGUUCAUGUUGUGGUGAUUGCAGGAUUCCCAAAAGCCACAAAAAAGAGCAAGACUCUAUAAAACUCUGUUUGCAUCAGACUUGUUAACCUCCCUCUAGUCAAGCAAAGUUACAUUCAAGUCUAGUAUUGCCCAAUGGUACAAAAGAAAGGAGGCCAUACUAAAAACCCACAGGACUUUAGAUGUUGUUUAUGGACAACUCCUUCUAUUUGGUUUCUCCUAUUCCACUGUCGGCUUCCCAUUAAUCUACCAAUUUGGUGAAGUUGCCCUGUUCUAGAAAUCUUCCCUCAAUCCUGUUAUCCCCUGAGGUACUAUGUAGUUGCGUCUAUCAAUGUCAGGGAUUAACUGAAAAGCUUUCAUGGAAAUAGCAAUAAUAUUUGGGGUGCUUGGCCCUGUACCCAGAACCUCCUACAUGCUAAGAAUGCACUCUACCACUGAGCUACACACUAAGCUCCAACCAUAAUAAUUUAAAAAUAACUGAAAUGGUUAAGGUGUACAGUAACCACAGCAAUUGUAUAGAAAUUAGACAAAAUAUGGAAGAUAGUUUGUGGUAGUUUAUAAAUGCUGCUAUAUAGCAAAAUUAAGGGAACAGACUUUUGCCUAUUAUGUUUUUGUAUUAUAUUUUGAAUUCUCUGCACUCAAGACUCCCAGUGACCUAUGCCUGAAGGGGGCAUUCUUACUACCAUUCCCUGGUCACCAGUCCUACAAAGUCUAUGUCUCUUUCUGAGCCUUAGGAGGGAUACAGGAAAUUUUGAACUUAAAGUUAUAUUUUUAAUCUAUAUCUCAUUUUUAAAAGAUAAAAAACCACACAUUUUAAAACAUCUUUUUUCAUUAUCUGGCUCACCAAAUUUCUGUUUAGUAUUGGGACAUAAUGAUCAACAUAUGGACUCUGAAGCCAGUUUUCAGGUUUAAAUUUCAGCUAGGCAAGUUACUUGGCCUCUUAGUGUUUCUAUUUCCUCCUUUGGGAAGUGGUGAUAGUAAUAGUACAUACCUCAUAGGGUUUGGGGGAGAACAUUAAAUGAAUCAGUACAGGUGGUAUUUAGAAAUUUGUGUGACACAAAGUAAACACUCAAAAUCCAGCCAUGCUCAAUAACUCUGGGUUUUUAAGAUCAUGUUCUCCAAGCUCUAUACUCCUUACUCUGUAGGCUACAAAGGCAUCUUCGGUCUUUCUUCUUUUUUAUUCUAAUUGUCACUUGCUAGUUCAUUCAUUAGUGCUUGAUUGCAAAAUUAUAAUAGUCUCCUAGUUCUCCUAUGCUUAAUUCAUUCCUACUUUCAGUAAAUGUUUACUUACAAGUCAACUAGGCACCAGGCACUAUUCCAGACGGAAACCAAUGAACCUUUGGGAACUUAUAAUCAAGCAAGGGAAGAUGGAUUCAUGAGCAAGGAAACGUAAUACACUUUGAAGAUGCUGUGAGAGGAAAGUCCCUGCAGAGUACAAAGCAAAGGAGAAGAAGUCAAAAAUUCCUCCUGAUGGAAGAAGCAAUGGAAAAUAGGGCAAAUUAGCAUGGGGUCUGGACUCAGAACAACCUGGAUUACAAUUCAAAUACUGUCACUUCUGAGUUCCAGAACCUUCGAACACUAGUUUGUUUGUAAUAUAAAAUACUUCAAUAAUAAAGAAACAUAUUUAGAAUAAAAUAAUAACCAUGUGCUUAUAGUUGAGCUUUGAUAAUGUUUAAUUUCUCAUAGAUGUUUCAAAUUUUUUAAAAUAAAUAAUACAUUAAUAAUAGAGUUUAAACAAAUUGUAUACUACUUCUUUGCUUAAUUCUGUUCCUCCUCCUCUUUCUUUCCAGGAGCAGACAGAUUUUUAAUUUUACAUUUAUCACUUCUAUAGUGUUUCUCUAUUUAUGCUCCAUAGAGAACUACAAAUAAUAUAAAACAAUAUUCCUAUUGUUUUAUGUUCUAAAACUUUUUAUAAAUGGUAUCAUAUUUGUGUGUCUUUUCAUAUCUUGUUUUGAUCAUUCAAUAUAGAUUGUUGAAGUUUAUUCAUGGUGAUACAUUUAUUUAUUUUUAUUUCCAUACAGUAAAAUAUACCAUAGAACAAUUAUUCCAAAAUUUGUCAGUCUGUUUUCUUGUUAAUGGACUCCAGAGUUGCUUGCUAUAGUUCUCUAUAGUUAACAAUGUUGCAAUGAUACCCUUGCAUGUGUUUCCCUGUACAUACAGGAAACUUUCCCUGGGAUCCACCUUGCAGCAUCUAUUUCUUGAGCUUUACCAGAUACAGCAGAGUUGCUCUGUAUUUCCCCAUCACUUUUUGAGAGUUUAAAUUUCUUCACAUCUUUUCUCACACACAGUAUUUUGAUCACUUUUUAUAUGAUAGGUAUAAAAGAGAAUAUUAUUUUAAUUUGCCUCUCCAUGCUGUAAAAGCCUUUUCUGCUCCAUUGUAUAGAAUACUGAGUGGAAUCUUUUUUUCUUUUUUAAAUUCCUUUUGCUAGGCACACCAGUCUAAUUUCUCUUAGUACUAAUAUAAUACUUUUAGUUUAUAAUUUUAUUAUUAUUAGUAUUCAGUAUAUGAUACUUUCAGUUUAUAUAAUACUUUUAAUUUAUAAUUAGUUUUAUAAUACUAAUAUAAUACUUUUAGUUCAUGGUAUUUGGGCUGCCAAAUUAGUCACCUUUUUUUCUCUGAGAAAAUAUAUUUCACAGCAGGAAUUUACAUUGUAGGGUAACAGAGAAAGAUACCUUAUUUGAAAAGUAGAAGUAAUAUUGCCACCAUUGAGGUUCAAGUAGAAGUAAUAGUACCACCAUUAAGGUUCAAGAAAAAUUCCUUGAUUUUUCCCUUCUGUUUUCCCACUAGUAGCCAUGAGCAGACACAAUACCGCAUGUAAAGUUAUAUGUGGAAUGUUGAUUCUUGGUUUGAGAAAAUAAAAUCAUGAAAAAUCUAACAAGGAUGUAUUCUUUUCACUUUCCUGCCCUUGUAUAGUGGUUAGAGUUUUCAGACACAAACAGGUGCACAUUGGACUUGAAUUACUUUGAUAAAGCUCAACUAAGAAUCUAGGUUCUAGGUUCUGGGGUCCUUUACAAAAAAAAAAUAGUUCUUUUUCUUUAUGUUUUAAAUUCAGGAUUUUAUUGGGGGAGAUGAAAUUUGCUUCAUUUCUUUCAAAAAUCUCCUUUGCCCUUAUU
rnacentral:lncRNA from 1 species